AGAGUCGUUUGCAGUGUGGCUGAGCCUCCCGUUUGGAUUCUGUGUGCCGAGGAAUGGAUUUGGUGUGCGGUAACGACGUCACGGGAUUUGAAUGUGUCGAGAUGCCGUGUGCUGGGUAGUGGCUCUCCUGUGGUUGUCACGGAGCUCCUGCAGGUUGGGUAGUUGUGGAUGAGAGCAGGUACGCGCUCACAUGACGACCCUCCACCUCCCCACCCCCGCUGGAGGAUUAAUGGCAAAGAAGACGAGG